CAAUGGAAAUAUAAUUACACUUUUUACUCUCAGAAUAUUGUUCACAUUAGACUUCCUGUUUAUCUUUUAUAUUCUUGCAUUUAUAUAAUGCCUCAUCCUUUCAAAGUUCUUUCACAUAUUAUAUGAUCUUCUUUAUGAAAAAAAUAGAUGUUUCAUUCUGAUAUAUUCAGUUUCCCACUUUAGGCAAAAGUAGAUUAAUAGAAUGACGAAUUCAAAGUAGAUGAGGAAAAUCAGGCACAGAGAAGUAAAGGUAGGGAUAGACCCAAAUUUACACAACAAGAUAAUGACAUCUCCAGCUUUUAAGUUGAUCAUCAAAGGCUGGGCUGGAUUUGUCUUGCUGUAUGUGUCAGGAAAUUUAUACCUAUUACAUUUUCCAUUUUCUCAAAAUUUAAGUCACAUGACUAAUAUUUAGCUGCAACUUUCCUCAUAACAAAUAGUGUCAUGAAGAAUGUUGUAGUGUGAAGUUUGUACAUUUCAGGGUCAGAUAUACAAUAUGAACUCUUAAUCUACAGGAAUGAGAAUGGAGGAUCAUUGAAGGCCAUGAUAUAAACAAAUUUGCAUGUUGAAGCCUGUAUAAAACAUGGUACAGUGAGUGAAUAUACCCCCAUCCCCAAGAACACUUUAUACAUAUUAAAUGGAUAUAUGAUUACUGUGCAAAAAUUCAUUCUGGAAAUGAACAUAUAUUUGAGCACUAAUAUGUAAUGUACACCUGCCCUAAGGAGAAAAUAAAUUAUAAAACUUUUUACAUUCAAAAUUACUUUCCCAAGCAUGUCUUAGAAUAAUCUAUGUGUUGAUGCAUGUAAAUUGUACUUUAGGUAGGCAAAGAAAUCUGGUUAUUUAUGUAAAAACUAGUCUAAUAAAGUUAGUUAGUGGCUUUAUCACUUUAAAUCUUUAGUGUCCAAAAGUGGUGUUUAAAGUAAUAGCACAUCAGAAAACCUUGUCUGGACAAAACUAGUUCACUCACUGCUUCUGCACCUGCAGUUGCUCCCUUUAGGGUUAUAAAAUAAUGACCCAAAUGUUACAUGUGUUGAUAUUAUAACUUGUCAGUUACUGAUGUCUGUGGUAUCCUACCCUCAUCUCUGAAAGGGAUAAUACUGAAUAAUUAUUAGAAAACUAUAAAACUUCACACUUUGUACCAUUAAAACCUAAAAUUUUAAUCUUGUCCUUUUUUACUAUGGAUCAGUCGGCACUCGGGAACAGCAGCAAGGAAAAAAAGCAAAUUUCAUUCACAUGUUCUGUGUUCAUACCUCUUCUCUACCUAAUUGUUCAUUUAAAUUUCAGCCUUAUUCCUUGAUAAGGGAUUUUACCACAUGAAGUCAUCCAGUGACCCUAGCUCUUAUUGUGAAGUUAGUGGAGUAUACUUAGAAAUGUUACAACUUUAAAAUGUUACAAAACAUUCAUUAAAGCUCAUAUUUAAAGUAGAGCAUCUAGUUUGAGAAAUAGAAAUCAAUUAUUAAAGAUGUCUUUUUUCUACCCAUUUAACUAGUUAAAACCAUGACAUGUAAAUGUAGAAGUAGAAUAAUCAUAGAAUUCCCUAAAAUAUUUCUGUUUACUAACAUAUAUUGACCAAGUACAUCAAGCAGGAGAGAUCUUCCUUCAUUCUGUUAUAGUCCACAUCAUUCUAAUUUUGCUCAGUUGUUAUUAAGAGCAUAUUCCUAAACCAUACACUUUUGUUUCAAUAAAGUUUUAUUUUGUUGAGAUGAAUAAAAUAACAAAGUUAUAAGCUGCAUAAGACAAAAGUUCAAUUGUUCAAAAAAAAUUUACUGGGAUAGCUUUCUAUUACAGGUAUUGUUAGAUUAUAUUGUGCUGAUAAGAUUACUUUCUAAAAAAUUUGUACUUUUCUGUAAAUUAAAAGAAUAUGGAGUCAUAAAAUGGCAAGUGUUUUAGGAUUAGCCUAAAAUUGGACAUUGUCAUUGAUUUCAAAGAAGGUAUGAACUAGCAGUCUUACAGCCUAAUUCUUCUUUGGACUGGUCCUUGGCAGCAGUUCCUUUUCAGACUCGAUAAACAGAAUUCAGAUGAUGUAAGUCAAAACAAAACUUUACAAAGCCAAGCGUAUUAUCUUUUGCAUUAACCUAUUUUUUUCCAUCAUACAUGCUACUAGUAUGUGCAUUAGCAUGAUAUUCUCAUAUACAUUGCAUUAAAAAUUAAAAGGUGGCAGCUCAGGGUGAGCUCUUCUGUUGCUCAUUUGUUCCUAAAUUUUUAAGGGCUUUUUCUCAGUCAAUAGUUUGUACAAACUGGUUAGUUUAACUUCAUUACCCAUUUCAUUAAAGUUGAUGGGUCGUGUGAUGAGAUGCAUUUAAGGCCGAUAGUGAUAGAUGUUUUUUUUAUUUCUUGAACACAGGCUUUGUCUGAAUGAUGUUCUUUUAUCUCUUGAACACAAGCUUUGAAUGAUAACUACAGGUUUUAAGUGCUGUUACAUUAAUACCAUAAUGUGAUGUGUUAGAAACAAAGGGAUAUUUCAAAGGUAGAUAUUUGAAAAUUCUCUAGUCUCAAUAUGUAUGUGUAUUGAAUAUACUCUAAAAAUAAAUGUGCAAUUUGCUAGUAGGACAAUGCAGUGACUGACUAGCAUUAGGUAUGUUUCUUUUAUAUCCUAGCUAUGUCCCACUUUCUUCUAAGUGCAAUCCUUUCAUGUUCACUUGCUGUUUUACCCCAUCUACUCUAACUUCAUUUGGAAGGCUUGUCUAGAGUAUAGCAUGUAUUUUUACCUUUGCAGUGAAUUGCAUGUGCUAAUUGUAACCACAGCUAUUUUUAUGUUGACAUAACUCCAAAUGUUAUAUUAAAUGUUCUAUUAUAUAUUAGCUCUAAUCCCUUAAGUAAAUUUUAAGAAAUAAAUACUUGUUC
rnacentral:lncRNA from 10 species